rnacentral:rRNA from 1 species
GAUGAACGCUGGCGGCGUGCUUAACACAUGCAAGUCGAACGAGAAGUGCAGGCGGAAACGUUCGGGCGGAAGACUUAAUUUGGAAUGGCCGACGGGGGAGUCACGCGUGGGUAACCUGCUGUAUACAGGGGGAUAACACUUUGAAAGGAAAGGUAAUACCGCCUAAGGCCAGAGCCACGCAUGGUGCGGGGGUUAAAACUCCGGUGGUAUGAGAUGGACCCGCGUUCGAUUAGUCGGUUGGCGGGGUAACGGCCCACCAAAGCGACGAUCGAUAGCUGAUCUGAGAGGAUGACCGGCCACAUUGGGACUGAGACACGGCCCAAACUCCUACGGGAGGCAGCAGUGGGGAAUAUUGCGCAAUGGGGGAAAGCCUGAUGCAGCCACGCCGCGUGAGUGAAGAAGGAUUUCGGAAUGUAAAGCUCUAUCAGCGGGGAAGAUAAUGACGGUACCUGAGUAAGAAGCCCCGGCUAACUACGUG